GAGGAGGAGGAGGAGGGCCGGGCCCCUCAGUGAGGAGAGAUGAUGAAGGCUGUCUCCCUGCCUCUCGGGGCUUUUCAGGACGCGCGACUCGGCUUUUUCCAGCGCUAGCAGUCGAAUAAAGUUUAUAAAAUCAAGGCGGAACACCCGCAUGGGUCCCCAGUGGGAGGAGCCUCAGAUCCUGAAGGGAAGAAUCAUUUCCCUUGGGCCUCACGCACCUGAGUAAGGCAAACAAAAAAACCGAAGGUCCAGGUCAUCAGGGAAAUCAGGAAUUCCCCACUCCAGGAACAUCCCCACAGCCACAGCAGGGUCGUCUUCAAGGAGGUGCCGACCCAAAAUCAUCCGG